GUUGAGACUAAAAGGUUUCGAUUUGGGUAAAUAACUGGAUCUGGAUUUUCCUUCUUUUUUUUUCCUUCUUGGUGUCGAUUCGAGCUUCACAGUUUAAUUCCUGAGUUCAGGGGUCCUUAUCAUAAAGCCCAUGAAAAGUCUCUACCAAGUGUAAUCUUAUUUCCCAAAGCCAUCACAUUUUAUGUAACUUGGUAGUUCUCUGGCUGCUGGUUUGCGAGAGAAGCUGGAUUUUUUUGGGUCUGUAUUACUUGGUCAAAUGGGGUUAUUAGAUUGUUAGUUGACUUAUUGUUAAUGAUAUUGUGGUUUAGACUGAUGAUGCUUUUGCUGAUUUGCUUCAAACCCUAGCUGAUAUGGAUCUGACUUUUACAGUCCUUAAGGAAGGGAUGUUAAUCGACUUCGAAAGCAUCCGUCAAAUGAAGUAAGAGGACUGGUGAAGCAAUUGGUGAGGAAAUGGAAGGAUUUGGUGGAUGAAUGGGUCGGGUUGAACAAUAGU